CAUGCAUGUCUAAGUAUAAGAAUUAUACCGUGAAACUGCGAAUGGCUCAUUAAAUCAGUUAUCGUUUAUUUGAUAGUACCUUACCACUUGGAUAACCGUGGUAAUUCUAGAGCUAAUACAUGCUAAAAACCCCGACUUCGGAAGGGGUGUGUUUAUUAGAUAAAAAACCAAUGCCCUUCGGGGCUCUUUGGUGAUUCAUGAUAACCUAACGGAUCGCAUGGCCUUGCGCCGGCGACGGUUCAUUCAAAUUUCUGCCCUAUCAACUUUCGAUGGUAAGGUAUUGGCUUACCAUGGUUUCAACGGGUAACGGGGAAUUAGGGUUCGAUUCCGGAGAGGGAGCCUGAGAAACGGCUACCACAUCCAAGGAAGGCAGCAGGCGCGCAAAUUACCCAAUCCCGACACGGGGAGGUAGUGACAAUAAAUACUGAUACAGGGCUCUUUUGGGUCUUGUAAUUGGAAUGAGUACAAUUUAAACCCCUUAACGAGGAACAAUUGGAGGGAAAGUCUGGUGCCAGCAGCCGCGGUAAUUCCAGCUCCAAUAGCGUAUAUUAAAGUUGUUGCAGUUAAAAAGCUCGUUGUUGAAACUUGGGUCUGGCUAGCGGGUCCGCCUCACCGCGUGCACUUGUCCGGCUGGACCUUUCCUUCUGGAGAACCUCAUGCCCUUCACUGGGUGUGUUGGGGAACCAGGACUUUUACUUUGAAAAAAUUAGAGUGUUCAAAGCAGGCCUUUGCUCGAAUACGUUAGCAUGGAAUAAUAGAAUAGGACGUGCGGUCCUAUUUUGUUGGUUUCUAGGAUCGCCGUAAUGAUUAAUAGGGAUAGUCGGGGGCAUCAGUAUUCAAUUGUCAGAGGUGAAAUUCUUGGAUUUAUUGAAGACUAACUACUGCGAAAGCAUUUGCCAAGGAUGUUUUCAUUAAUCAGUGAACGAAAGUUAGGGGAUCGAAGACGAUCAGAUACCGUCGUAGUCUUAACCGUAAACUAUGCCGACUAGGGAUCGGGCGAUGUUUCUAUCUUGACUCGCUCGGCACCUUACGAGAAAUCAAAGUUUUUGGGUUCUGGGGGGAG
rnacentral:rRNA from 1 species